UACGAAGGGGGCUAGCGUUGUUCGGAAUUACUGGGCGUAAAGCGCACGUAGGCGGAUUUGUAAGUCAGGGGUGAAAUCCCGGGGCUCAACCUCGGAACUGCCUUUGAUACUGCAAGUCUUGAGUCCGGAAGAGGUGAGUGGAAUUCCUAGUGUAGAGGUGAAAUUCGUAGAUAUUAGGAAGAACACCAGUGGCGAAGGCGGCCCACUGGUCCGGUACUGACGCUGAGGAGGCGGAAAGCGUGGGGAGCGAACGAGG
rnacentral:rRNA from 1 species